AAUACUACUGUUACUGUAAAAACUAGUAAGUAAUUUUAUUGCAGAGAAUAAUACAAAUGAAGCUUCAAAUGGUUUGUUUACAUUCAGCAACUAAACCAACGACUACGGAAAAAACUACAACUAGACGAUCGAGCAGAUCAAGGCUGACUACCAAGCAACCAUGUAAUUCGAGAACAUGUUUGGGAUAUCAAUAUGGAUUGUCGGAUGUAGUUGUGAACAUUAUAGCAGACAUGUAUGAUCUACAGAACAUGUUGCCGAAUUAUAAUCGAUUUAGUUCAGGUUAUAACUACAAUAUUAACCGCAUUGUACAACAACGAUAUUCUCCGCAGUUUAGUCGUCCAUUACAAUAUUGGUACGGGAUUCGUCAAGUAACCAGAACUAAUCGAAGAACUACUUCAAAUUUGUUCGACUACGGAUAUGAUUAUGGCGACAACGACAAUGAUUAUAAAUAUGUUGAUUAUUAUGAAAAUUCUCAAAGGCAAACAGAUAGACGAAGAAAACAAUCU